rnacentral:rRNA from 1 species
AGUGAACGCUGGCGGUAGGCCUAACACAUGCAAGUCGAACGGCAGCACAGUAAGAGCUUGCUCUUACGGGUGGCGAGUGGCGGACGGGUGAGGAAUACAUCGGAAUCUACUUUUUCGUGGGGGAUAACGUAGGGAAACUUACGCUAAUACCGCACACGACCUACGGGUGAAAGCAGGGGAUCUUCGGACCUUGCGCGAUUGAAUGAGCCGAUGUCGGAUUAGCUAGUUGGCGGGGUAAAGGCCCACCAAGGCGACGAUCCGUAGCUGGUCUGAGAGGAUGAUCAGCCACACUGGAACUGAGACACGGUCCAGACUCCUACGGGAGGCAGCAGUGGGGAAUAUUGGACAAUGGGCGCAAGCCUGAUCCAGCCAUACCGCGUGGGUGAAGAAGGCCUUCGGGUUGUAAAGCCCUUUGUUGGGAAAGAAAAGCAGCAGGUUAAUACCCCGCUGUUCUGACGGUACCCAAAGAAUAAGCACCGGCUAACUUCGUG